rnacentral:rRNA from 1 species
GACAAAAAUUAAGCCAUGAACGAAAGUUCGACUAAGCCAUACUAGCCUAUAGGGUUGGUAAAUUUCGUGCCAGCCACCGCGGUCAUACGAUUAACCCAAGUUAAUAGACAUACGGCGUAAAACGUGUUAAGGAAACUACCCACACAAUAAAGUUAAAUCUUGGGCUAUGCUGUAGAAAGCUUUAGCCCAGACAAAAAUAAACCACGAAGGUGACUUUAAACGAUCCGACUACACGAUAGCUAAGACACAAACUGGGAUUAGAUACCCCACUAUGCUUAGCCCUAAACCUAAGCAGCUAAAUAACGAUGCUACUCGCCAGAGUACUACUAGCAACAGCUUAAAACUCAAAGGACUUGGCGGUGCUUUAUAUCCCUCUAGAGGAGCCUGUUCUGUAAUCGAUAAACCCCGAUAAACCUCACCAACUCUUGCUAAUACAGCCUAUAUACCGCCAUCUUCAGCAAACCCUAAAAAGGAAAUAAAGUAAGCAAAAUCAUAAAACAUAAAAACGUUAGGUCAAGGUGUAGCCUAUGAGUUGGAAAGAAAUGGGCUACAUUUUCUAGUAUAGAACAUCGACGAAAAUUUUCGUGAAACCGAAAAUAGAAGGAGGAUUUAGUAGUAAAUUAAGAACAGAGAGCUUAGUUGAAUCAGGCCAUGAAGCACGCACACACCGCCCGUCACCCUCCUCAAGUAUAAAGAUACAAUGCCCAAUCCUAUUAAUAAAUGUACACACACAUGAGAGGAGAUAAGUCGUAACAAGGUAAGCGUACUGGAAGGUGCGCUUGGACAAAUCAAAGUGUAGCUUAUGCAAAGCGCCUGGCUUACACCCAGARGRUUCCAUACAAGAAUGGCCACUUUGAACAAAUGCUAGCCCAUGCAAAUAUAAACUC